rnacentral:lncRNA from 1 species
GUCUUUAAAGUCAGAAUUGCUCUUUUGCAUGCAUAAAAGGAAAUUAUAGGCAAAACAAAUUGGCUAAAAUAGUCCCCAGAUUUCUUCACAUUCAGAGUCCAAUUUUUCUGAAACCCUCUUUGACUCAGAGCCUUGAUUUUCUGCAUGGUGUCACCUUCUGUGCCAUCAGGAGCAUUGGCAAUGUGCCAUUCUUUAAAAGAUUGUCCACUAUUGUUUCCACCAUUUAUUUUCAAGCCUCAGCCACUCAUUCUGCAAGCUUUAUUGCCGGGGUUUUCUUGCUUCACGUGUGACUAGCAAUCAUUCUGCCCUUUUCUCGGUAAUAAAACAACACAACAGUUCCAUUUACUUAUGGGGCUCUUCCUUUCUUAGGUCUCACAAAACACUUGGCUGCUGUUUUGCAAGAAAAUAUGAAACUGUGGUCAUUCUUCAAUGAUAACUGCUUCACUAAUAUAAAAUUCUUGCUACACUCUUCUGUUUGCCCGCCUUUCUGCAUACACAGUAACUGGGUUUAAAUGCUAAACCACAGUGUAACCUUUUUGAAGACAUUUUAAACAGCAAUUAAGCUGAAGGCACGGAACUCACCUGACCAAGUUUAGGUAUGCGCAGGCAAUGACGGCCACUCCCAGCUGCCACACGAGCGGAAGAGCUCUUAUGAUGAGAAACGAGAUACACCUUAGAAUUGGUGAAACAUGGCAGUUACAAGAUUAAACCCAUAUGCAAUGCCCAUUCUGCCACGCGCUGUUCUAGACAUUCUUGGAUAUAUCAGCUCACUUAAAUCCUCACAACCAUCUUAGGAGCUAAAUAUUAUCAUCCUGUUUUUUAAAGAUGAGGAAAAUGAGACAGAGAGAGGUUAAGUAACUUUCCUGAGAUUUCACAGCUAGUAAAAGUGGGAAGGCAGAAUUAGAACUCCAGUAGCCUGGCUUUGAGAGAACUUUUUUGAUUGUAAAGGUGAAUCCCUAAUUCAUUCCCUGAAAUAAUCAAGAUGGGAACGAGGUGGGAAAGAGUGCUUAAGGUCUUUGAAUAAUAAAGACACGGAUUAGGGUGUUGUUUGCUGCUGGCUUGAAAGAGCAGGCGGGGACGGUGGAAAACAGGCGGUGGAAGGAGGGUGUCUGGGAGCUAGGCCGGGUUGAGCCGUGGCUGUGGCCGCGGCCGGUGAGGACGCCCCCUGCUGGAGCACUGUGAUGGGAUUCGGAGCAGCGCUGUCUGACAGUUGACGUGAGAUGUGUUUCCUGCUCUGAGCUGAGUCACAAAUGCCCUCUACUCUCCCCGAAAGGUUAGCAACUUACCCAGGUUUCUAGAUUUGGAAAUGGUGGAGAUUCUGACCUCAGGAGAAAAGACCUUCAAGCUCACACUACUAAGCUGCCAGCCUCCAAAGUGCACGUGAUGACUGCCUUUGUCAGCACAGCCAUGAGGCACUUGCAUACCUCCUCGACAUCACUGAGUUGGGGGCCAGACACUGGGCUGGGUGAUGGGGACACAGUGGUGACUAAGGCAGGGCCCGCCCUCAGGUCAUGCACAGAACUGAGGCGGGAAAUAUACAUUGAUGUUGUUCUUUUCAUUGCACAAAAGAGAAAACUGACACUUUGAGAGGUCGAAAGGCAUUUCUGAAUUUUACACGCAAUGAAGCAUGCAAAAGCUUAGCACAGUGACUGACAUGUAGUAAAGCUUGAUAAAUGUCAGCUGUUGUUAUUAUUUCCAAAGUCACAUAGCUAGUCCGUACAAAGCUGUGGCUCAAAUCCAGCUCUUCUGGUUCAAACCUCAAUGUUCCUUCAAGAGAAGUGCCUGGCAAGGAAGAGCCUGGCUAUGCAGAGGUGGGUUCGGGUUGUGUGGUUCCUGAAGCUUAUACAACUUGCGGCGAGCUCUUUAAGAAAAAUAAAAAUUAUAAAAUAUACGAAAAUAUAUGGCCAUGUGAAUGCAUGGCUAGGGCCUAUUCCAAAGUCCUAGAAGAGCCCACGCAAGCCGGGCCCUGAAGCUUAAGCUUUCUUACCUCCGUAGCAAGACCACUUCUGCUACCACAUGUGGAAGAUUUGCUACCUGCGUGGUGGGCUGGCUGGCUGGCCACCGAGGUCCCUUCAGAGACUGAGAUUUUGUGAUUCUGUGUCCUAAAGUCUAUGCAGGAGCACUGCACUCAGAAGCAGGCCAGGGGGCUCCUGCUCUGGCCCAGUGCUUUAGAGGGCUCUGCCAUAUCACGUAUAUCCACAGCAGAGACAUCUGACGGACCAGUGACUCCCAGGACACAGCACUGCCUGGACCCAAACAUUCACUCUCAUGACCAACACCAGUCAGGCCCCAAGGAAAUGCUUCUUCACACCUCUUACCUUAUGUUCUCGAAGCCAAAAGCUCUGGAACCCUAAUGCUGGGAAGGUUUGUAGGUUGUACAACUGCCACAUGGGAGACAACACUGCUUUCAGGGCAGGGCACAGGAAGGAUUCAGAAUUAGCUCAUCCAAGCUUUCUUCUCAGAUCCAAUGAAUGUAAUAGACUCCUACCUAACAAAGUAUCCUUUCCCAGAAAUGCCAAGUGUCCCUAUUCUUGUAUUUCUUCCUGUUCCAAUUCAUGGUCCUGGACAUACACGAGUUAGUGCAGUAUUCACAAAACCUGCAUGUGGCAUUUGAGGACUGUUUUGUAAGAAUGAUUCUCAUUAACUCUUAUAUUUUUGCACGUUUAUAGGUCUAGACGUAACAUGUAGCAGCAUGGUACCAGUUCUUUCCAUCACUCUACAGCAGCAGUGCUCAAAGUAUGGUCUGAGGAUUCCUGGGAGUUGUUGAGCUCUUCUAAGGAGUCUGUGGGGGUCAAAAUCAUUUUCCUAAUACAGGUUGUGUAGCCCUAACCUGAGAAUCCAAAAACUGAAAUGCUCCAAAUUCUCAAGCUGUUUGAGACUCAACAUGACCCUACAAGUAGAAAAUUCCACACAGGACCUCAUGUGACAAGUCAUAGUCACAAUCCAGACAAAACUGUUUCAUGCUCAAAAUUAUCAAAAAUAUUUUAUAAAAUUACCUUUGGGCCAUGCGUAUUAGGUGUAUAUGAAGCCUAAGUGAAUUCUGUGUUUAGACUUGGGUCCCAUCCCAAGAUAUCUCAUGAUAUAUGUGCAAAUAUUCAAAGAAAACAUCUGAAAACCAAAACAUUUCUGGUCCCAAGCAUUUUGGAUAAGGGAUACCUAACCUGUAAUGCUAAGAUAUCAUUUGCCCUUUUCAGGCUAAUUCUCUCACGAGUGUACAGUGGAAUUUUCCAGAAGUUACUCAGUGUGUGAUGUCACCAUCACUCUGAUGACUAAUGGGAUGUGUGCUUGUGUGUUGGGUUUUAAAAGUUAUCAGUUUUAAUUUCUAAUUUGGCAAAAAUUGAUAGUUAUAAUUUAUAUAAACAAAAGGGGUCCUCAAAAGGGGUCUUUGGGGUCCUCAGUAACUUUUAAGAGUAUAAAGGAGUUCCAACCUCAAAAAGCUUGAGACUUGUUUGAUAUUGCUUUAAGAAAUUUUCAUGAUGUACAGGAUAGCACUUUGUAUGAUGAAAUAAAAACAUUUUUGUAAUUUUGUUGUGAGAGUGACAAUUUAACAUACACCAUCCCAUUAUUUAGUUUGUACGUGGCAUAUAAAAUCCAUGGUUUAGUUCUGUAUCCAAGUAUUGCUUUGAGAAUUAUAUUGAUAAUUUCCAGCCUUCGCAGAGUGUAAUUCACAAUUUCUCCACAGUGAAAUUGAUAAAAAACUAAAAACUAUAAUGACUCAAAAAAAGUUAUCUAAUUCAGUAUGACUGUCAACAGGACAAAAAUUAUAUAAAAUUGUGAUUAUAACUGCAUAAUUGGUG